UCCUUCUUCGCUCAGUUGGUAGAGCGCGUCACUAGUAGUAUUGUACACCUUCAGCUAAUGACGAGGUUAAUCGUUCAAGUCGGCUAGAAGGAA